AGCCUUAAAUAAAACUGAUAAUAACUGCUUUUAAGUUCACUUAAUAUCCAAUUCUCUUCUGUCUUCCAGGAGAACCAGUGGUUCUGGAUUGAUGGUACACCUUUUAACUACUUGAACUGGUGUGCUGGAGAGCCUAAUAAUCUGGGCGGCAGGCAGAAUUCUUUGAAAAUUAAUCAUGGAGAUCAAAAGUGCUGGGAUGACUGUUAGUGCGAGUUUCGAAGACCGUCUGUCUGUGCCAAGAAGAUCUGAUGAUUCCUGUGCUGUAACAGAGUCACGAAGGCUUCCGUCUUUCUACCAACAGUUUCACAUUUUAGCUGAACUCUCUAUAUCUCAUUUCAUAUCUCCAUUGCUGUGACUCCACUUAAAGAACAAAGUGACAUAACUGGAGCUGGAUUGCCUCUUAGGCCUUGUGCCUUUAAGAAGAGCAGACUGAAUGUGUUAUGAACUUUCUUUUAGAACAUUCUUCCAUACAAUAUAAUCUGUAAAAUGAUACUUUUUACAAGAAUAAAAGGCUCUAGCACUGGAA